UACGGGGGGAGCAAGCGUUGUUCGGAUUUACUGGGCGUAAAGGGCGCGUAGGCGGUCAGCACGAGUCAGUUGUGAAAUCUCCGGGCUUAACUCGGAAAGGUCAACUGAUACUGUGCGACUAGAGUGCAGAAGGGGCAACUGGAAUUCUCGGUGUAGCGGUGAAAUGCGUAGAUAUCGAGAGGAACACCUGCGGCGAAGGCGGGUUGCUGGGCUGACACUGACGCUGAUGCGCGAAAGCCAGGGGAGCGAACGGG
rnacentral:rRNA from 1 species